CCCUUAGAUGUUCUGGGCCGCACGCGCGCUACACUGAUGGAUUCAACGAGUGUUGUUCUUCGGAGCAGAUCCUUGGUCGGAAGGCCUGGGCAAUCUUGUAAAUGUCCAUCGUGAUGGGGCUAGAUUUUUGCAAUUCUGAAUCUCCAACGAGGAAUUCCUAGUAAACGCAAGUCAUCAGCUUGCAUUGAUUACGUCCCUGCCCUUUGUACACACCGCCCGUCGCUCCUACCGAUUGAAGUUUUCGGUGAGUUGACAGGAGGAUUUUUUUGAAACUGGUUCGCCAGUGGAUUUUAGAUCCAAAUGCCAACGAAUCGAUGGCUUUAGAGGAAGGAGAAGUCGUAACA
rnacentral:rRNA from 1 species